ACCAUUGAGUCCAUUUACCUCAACACAGGCCUGGAGUGGUCCUGCACCUCCCUCCUUUGGCCAGAGCUUGCUGGGUUAAGCACACACACAAACAAAGUGAUCCACUGUUCAAUAGGUAUGGAUGUCAGUAGAUGGGGCAUUCAGAGUUUGCCAGAAUAGAUACCACAUGAGGCUGUGUUUAAUGCUGUCCCCUCUUCUAGCCCCAAUACAUUUCUCUUGGAAGCCUGGACACCCAGGGCCAGUGCAUCAAAGACUUCUCUGUGUUUCCCAUUUCUUUGAAGUCGGAAAUCUAAGGUCCACAUGACACUUGGAUCUCUAUUACCAAGAGAGGGACCUGGCUCAACUCUUUAGGGCAUUAAAUGAAGAAAAUACCAGAGAGUUUCUAUAGUGAAUUUUCUUAUUUCACAUCCAUGACUCUAUAUUAUGACUCUCAAUAUAUGACUCUAUAUUUAUCUAAUGUCUCUAUAUUAAUGAUCACAAAUGCUAUCAUUAUAAGGGUCUCUUGUGCCAGAUAACUUACCUAACAUCUAUGUAUCUUCAUAACAAAUUCAUGACAUAGAUGAUAUUAGCAAUAUCUUUCAUAUGAGGGAGUCAAGGCAAUAGAUGAUUUGAGUGAUUUGGCUUGGAGUCUCUCAGACUCCAAACAGUACUUUUUUAAAAACAUGCAGAAUGGGC
rnacentral:lncRNA from 1 species